GUGAAAUACUGAAUGACAGGUGUAGACUAACAGUGAAAUGCUGAAUGACAGGUGUAGACUAACAGUGAAAUGCUGAAUGACAGGUGUAGACUAACAGUGAAAUGCUGAAUGACAGGUGUAGACUAACAGUGAAAUGCUGAAUGACAGGUGUAGACUAACAGUGAAAUGCUGAAUGACAGGUGUAGACUAACAGUGAAAUGCUGAAUGACAGGUGUAGACUAACAGUGAAAUGCUGAAUGACAGGUGUAGACUAACAGUGAAAUGCUGAAUGACAGGUGUAGACUAACAGUGAAAUGCUGAAUGACAGGUGUAGACUAACAGUGAAAUGCUGAAUGACAGGUGUAGACUAACAGUGAAAUGCUGAAUGACAGGUGUAGACUAACAGUGAAAUGCUGAAUGACAGGUGUAGACUAACAGUGAAAUGCUGAAUGACAGGUGUAGACUAACAGUGAAAUGCUGAAUGACAGGUGUAGACUAACAGUGAAAUGCUAAAUGACAGGUGUAGACUAACAGUGAAAUGCUGAAUGACAGGUGUAGACUAACAGUGAAAUGCUGAAUGACAGGUGUAGACUAACAGUGAAAUGCUGAAUGACAGGUGUAGUCUAACAGUGAAAUGCUGAAUGACAGGUGUAGACUAACAGUGAAAUGCUGAAUGACAGGUGUAGACUAACAGUGAAAUGCUGAAUGACAGGUGUAGACUAACAGUGAAAUGCUGAAUGACAGGUGUAGACUAACAGUGAAAUGCUGAAUGACAGGUGUAGACUAACAGUGAAAUGCUGAAUGACAGGUGUAGACUAACAGUGAAAUGCUGAAUGACAGGUGUAGACUAACAGUGAAAUGCUGAAUGACAGGUGUAGACUAACAGUGAAAUGCUGAAUGACAGGUGUAGACUAACAGUGAAAU